AAAACACAAGGAGAAGCAAUCAGAUAAUUAUUAUUUACAUUCUUCACUGAGGCUUCUCAGCUUCCCAGCAGAAGAAAUCCUGGCGAAGGGAUUUUUCAGAAAAUAUCCCAGUGACAAGAAAAAGUUGUGGGAUUUUUUUCUUUGCCUUUGGUGAGAGCUGCUUGCAGCAUUCCCUGCUGGGAAAGGCAUUGCUGUGGGAGAUGAGGGAUGAAGCAGAGCUUCCUUUUGUGAGGUGCCAUUGCCAGCAGAGGCUGAGCACACUCCUCCUACCCCAUAGUACAGUUUCCAUGUAAGAGAAAAGGCAAAGUUUCUGUACAGCAAAGGAAAGCAGGUGGGAGAAAUGAGGUGAAGUGCUGGUGUGCCACCUGUCUUCCUUAAUGUCAGGAGGGGAAGGUGGUGUAGGGAGUGUUGACUCAGUUGACUGUAAUUUGGAAGAGUGUUGGUCUGAUUUAGCUCUGGGAGCACAGAAAUGCCACUUUUGGCACAAGGGAAGUUUUGGAUCAAGCUGCUAUGAACCACUUAAGUCUAGUCAGCAAACUGAAAAAUAAUUUUCCCAUUGCCAACCUGAUAAAUGACCUGAUGCUCAGGUGGAGCCCCAGUCUUUGAGAUCCAAAAUCUGCUUCAUUACAGUUGUCACAAACAUCUCCAGGACUGUGGCAAGGACAGAGCACAAGGAUGAGGAAUGGUUCUGUGUGCUUGGAAACCUGGAUGUUUCUGUUGUGGAGCUGACCAUAGAUCAGCAUUCAGACCACUGGAAAAUCUGGACCAACAUGAUGUUGCAACCAGGGCACAGGCUGCCAGGAAGCAAACCUCCAGACAAAGCCCUGCAUUUGUAGCAGUCCUUUCCUUCCUCCACCUGUUUUGUGCCCUUUUAUUGCUUUGUUCCAUACAUAAACUUGUGCUUUUACACUCUUUGAAGUGUCCUGCACGGUG